ensembl:lncRNA
AUGUCCCUCUGGGGACACCCAAACCCAUUCUGGGGAAAGCUGUGGGCCAGCGUCCCUUUUUGGGGUCAUCCAGGACCCUUUUGGGGACAGCUGGGUGCCAGGGUCCCUUUUUGGGGACAGCUGGGUGCCAGGGUCCCUUUUUGGGGACACCCAGGUCCCUUUUGGGGACAGCUGGGUGCCAAGGCCCCUUUUGGGAAGUGCCCACAGGCCUGGGUGCAUUUUGGGGACCCCUGGAAAUCCAGGACCCUGUUGGGGUCACCCAGGUGCUGGGAUCCUUUGGGGACCCACAGGUCCCUUGGAGAAGGAAUGCCCAGAGCCCUGGGUCCCCCUGGGGACACCGGGACCCCCCCACUUACCACAGCCAGGGGAUUGUUGGGGGGGGACAGCGAGUGCAUGUUAUCAGGGAGCCUGGAGGGGGGGACAACAGCGAGUUCACUCCCUGUCACCCCCGUCACCCCACUGUCCCCACUCACAGGCUCCAGAGGUCAAGGAAGACUUCGGUCAGGGGGAAAAUAUGCUUUUAAGGCAAGCACAGAGAUGGACAGGCCUUGAGGAUAUCCAAAGGAUGGAUAACUACAAAACUAUUUAAUCAAGAAGACCAUUUUGUAAGGAAAAGUCGGACACGCAUGCCCUCGAGUUUGUUAAAAAUCAACUUGUUGGAAACAACUGGCUUAAAACAACAAUAAGAAAUUGUAAUAUGAACUCUUGUGAGCUAUCCUCAUUAUAAUCCUAAAAAUCACACCCCUAGACUGAGAGACCCUGGCCUGACAGAGGACCCUUCCCCUCUGAGGAUGCGGGGAAUGAUUUCGUCGUGUCAGCGGUAUGCUAAUUACAAAACCAAUUAGGAGCUAGAGGAUUGUGCUAACACAUAAAUGGAGCGAUAAGAGACUGUGCAAAGGGUGGCGUGGAAAAUCUUUAGGUGUGCCAGCUUGGUGGGAAACCAUCCGGUGGUACCCAGGCUUGUGCAGUUCUGACAUAAAACAAUAUCUCGACCUAGUGUCUGAAUUAGCUCAUUGCAUCCGUAACGAAUCCAAAAUGUUUCUCAGACAACACAGCCAGAGGCGCUCAUGGCUUGGCUUGGCCCCUUCAGAUGGGGGCUGGACCCUAAAAGGAGGCUUUGGGUUCUAAAAAUGAGGGUCUGGGCCCUUAAAAUGCAGCUGUGGAUGCUCAGCUGAAAGCUCUGAAACCUAAAACCAAAGUUCUGAUCCCAAAAAUGAGCCUUUGGGACCCGUGAAACCCACUUCUGCCUUCGGGAUUUAUGGGAACUUCCAGAGACAGGGGUGCCCCCAAAACUGGGGGCCUGGGGUGCACAACGCACCCGUCCCAAGGCCGAUCAUCUCAGCGAGGCCGCCGAGGAUAGAAUCACCAAAUCCAACUCCUGGGUCCCCAAAGGACCACCCAAGAAAUCAGACCACGUGUCUGAGAGCAUUGUCCAAAGGCUUCUUGAACCCCGGCAGGCUCAGUGCUGUGACAACUGCCUUGGGGAGCCUGUCCCAGUGUGCGACCACCUCUGGGUGGAGAAUCCAGACUUCAUACACUUGGUGAUUGCCCA